CACGUAGGGCGCAAGCGUUGUCCGGAAUUAUUGGGCGUAAAGAGCUCGUAGGCGGUCUGUCGCGUCGGCUGUGAAAACUCGGGGCUCAACCCCGAGCCUGCAGUCGAUACGGGCAGACUAGAGUGCGGUAGGGGAGACUGGAAUUCCUGGUGUAGCGGUGAAAUGCGCAGAUAUCAGGAGGAACACCGGUGGCGAAGGCGGUUCUCUGGGCAUUACCUGACGCUGAGGAGCGAAAGUGUGGGGAGCGAACAGG
rnacentral:rRNA from 1 species